GGCAUUGUGGCAGAGUGGUCUAAUGCGCAAGACUAGAAUAACAGUGUUCCUAUGUUUCGCUGAUCUUCUGUGAUCUUGUUCCUUCGGGAGCGUCUGUUCGAAUCAGGCCAAUGUCG